CACGUAGGGCGCGAGCGUUGUCCGGAAUUAUUGGGCGUAAAGAGCUCGUAGGCGGCCUGUUGCGUCCGCUGUGAAAGCCCGGGGCUUAACCCCGGGUCGGCAGUGGAUACGGGCAGGCUAGAGGUAGGUAGGGGAGAAUGGAAUUCCCGGUGUAGCGGUGAAAUGCGCAGAUAUCGGGAGGAACACCAAUGGCGAAGGCAGCUCGCUGGGACGGUACUGACGCUGAGACGCGAAAGCGUGGGGAGCAAACAGG
rnacentral:rRNA from 1 species